GUACCAUUGUGAUGUCAUUGUGAUGCCUUUUUGACAUGUCAGCUUGGCUAGCCUGACCUAAAGUCCUCAGGAUGCCCUAUUCAAAUGUCUUCAGUUAGGUACAGCUAAAGGGGUCUGCUCUCAGGGGAGCUGGAGGGCAAAAAGGAAGCUGGUGGUCAUUUUGUAGCACGUACAAGUCUCUCCCAGUGACUCAACCACUAAUAUUGAUGCUGCUGUGAAGGGAGUGCACAGAUAUGAUUCAAGACCCUAAUCAGUUGACUUUGGUUUAAUCAGGAUGGAGAUUAUCCAGGGUAGGCCUGAUUUAAUCAGUUUGUUCUUGAAACUUCCUUCCUGACCACUCCCUCUACACUGGGAGUUUCAGCUCAUGAUUGUGGGUUCGGUCUGCUUGUAUUCUUCCUGAAUACCUGUCCUACAGACUUUAGAAUUUCUUAGCUAGCCUCAACAAUUGCAUGAGCCAACUUCAUGUAAUAAUUCCUAGAUGUACAUGGAGUGGCACAGCUUGGAUUUCAUCUUGUCAGAUCCUGGAAUUUCAGCACUGACAAGUGUAUUCCUAUCCUGUUCCUGUGUUUUAAAUCAACCCUGAAAUACGGCUGUAAUUAUUCUCACAUAUGGGAGCAGAGGAGAUGAGAACAUUUCUAAGCAUUAUGGAAGAUCUGACACAAGAGAAAUCAUAUCUUGAUUUGAAGAUAUGAGAUGGCUUCAUGGAAAUGGAAUCAUUUGUGUUCAACUGUGAAGGACUGGAAGUAUUUGAACAUGAGAAUAUGAGAAGGCAUCAUUCCAAGCCAAGGGAGUAAACUCAGAGGAAGGAAAAUUGAGGACAGAAAAUUAACAAGGCACCUGUCAGUUUGGGGAGGGCAGCAACCUAAUAUGUAACCCUGAAAUUUCUUUGUAAGGUAUACUGCAAAAAGAAAAUGUGCUCAAACAUAUUCUUCUGAGUCCAUAUGCAUUUUUUUCUUCUCAUUUUGAGGUAUAGGCUCCAUGGAGGAAUCUGAGUGAGGUUUCCUAUUACUGAAUUGAAUGAACAUCUUAAAAAAAAACAGCUGUAUCUUUAUCAAAAGACAACAUAACAUUAAUUUCUCACUGGUCUCGGGAACUCAU
rnacentral:lncRNA from 1 species